UACGGGGGGGGCAAGCGUUGUUCGGAAUUACUGGGCGUAAAGGGCUCGUAGGUGGCCAACUAAGUCAACCGUGAAAUCCCUCGGCUUAACCGGGGAACUGCGUUUGAUACUGGAUGGCUUGAGUUUGGGAGAGGGAUGCGGAAUUCCAGGUGUAGCGGUGAAAUGCGUAGAGAUGCGGAGGAACACCGAUGGCGAAGGCAACCCCCUGGGCUGACACUGACGCUCAGGCACGAAAGCGUGGGGAGCAAACAGG
rnacentral:rRNA from 1 species